UGGAUUCACUUAUUUUCUUCUUUACAAGCUUCUGUCAGGUUUUGGAAAAGCAUUUCCCUAGACUGUAGUAAAUUGUAUUUUUCUUGUUCUGUCUAUUUAAAUCCUAGCCCGAGGGGAUGUGUUUAUUCAUCUGAGAGAGGGAGAGAGAGAAACGUGAGUGAGAGAGACGUGGAUCGGUUGCCUCCCACACCUGCCCGGCCAGAAACGGAACCACAGCCUUCCGGCCGGUGGGCUGGCGUCCAGUCGAUGGCCCGGCCAGGCUGUUGCUUCUUCCGUUAGACUCUGUGUGCAGCCUCUGGGUUUUCACUCGGGACGAAGCAGGCAAUUGGAACAUUUGGUUGUAAGCUGCUGUUUCGUUGGCCCCAUUACAGGAGGGAAAAUAAACUGGUAAAUUGAAAGUAGA